GUGAGGAGUACAAGCUGGCGGGGAAGAUGCUCAAAACGAGGUGCAACAGAGGAGAACUGCAAAGGGGGAGCUUGGACUGCUUUCCCAGGUUGGGAAGAAUGCCUGGGAAGAAGGAAAUUGCCGCUUCUGUAUUUGCUGCAGAAAACUGCAAUGUGUGAUACCAUCAAGGAAGCUGGAGUCCCACGUCAAAGGAGACACACUCAUUGCCAUGUGGAGUCUAAGGACAAGCUGAAGGAGUUGAUUCUCUCUUCCACCACUCCUGGAGAAUGAACUCAGGUUGCCAGAUGCAGGAGGGAGGAUGGACCACAGGAGUAGCCAAACAGAUCAGCAGAAUCAACCCUGUGCUCAGUGGGGGUGGCACACAUGAAAGCCAGAUUGCUCUCACAUCCAAAGCCACUGUGUUGGACUAGCUGCUGUACCGGAACACCAGGCUUAAAAAUCAACCUGGAGACCUGGAGAGGUAUCUUAGCCGCUCAGGGUCCUUGCUGCUCUUGUUGUGGACCAGAGUUUGGCUCCUAGCACCCAAGUUGAACAGCUCACGAUCUCCGGCUUCUUCCUUCCAAGCUCUGGUAUUACAGGGGCUCAUACUCUGGAAUCCUAGUGACAGCACAAAUACAGAGGUACUGUGAGUCUGUAUUGAGUUGAUUUCACUAAUAUAACAACUGUGGCUGUGGGCCCAUUGAGAUGACCAUUGAGAUGGUAAAAAAAGGUGUUUGUUGCCAAGCCUGAUGACCUGAGUUUGACCCCAGAACCUACCUGGUGGGGAGAGUGGAGUCCUAGAAGAUGCCCUCUGAUCUCCAUAUGGGA